rnacentral:rRNA from 1 species
UACGUAGGGUGCGAGCGUUGUCCGGAAUUAUUGGGCGUAAAGAGCUCGUAGGCGGCCUGUCGCGUCGGAUGUGAAAGCCCGGGGCUUAACCCCGGGUCUGCAUUCGAUACGGGCAGGCUAGAGUGUGGUAGGGGAGAUCGGAAUUCCUGGUGUAGCGGUGAAAUGCGCAGAUAUCAGGAGGAACACCGGUAGCGAAGGCGGAUCUCUGGGCCAUUACUGACGCUGAGGAGCGAAAGCGUGGGGAGCGAACAGG